rnacentral:rRNA from 1 species
AGUGAACGCUGGCGGCGUGCCUAACACAUGCAAGUCGAGCGAGCUUUUGCAGCACACCGCAAGAGCUAGCGGCAGACGGGUGAGUAACACGUGGGAAACCUCCACUGAAGAGGAGAAUACCCCCGAGAAAUCGGGGUUAAUACUCCAUAAGACCACAAUCCGGCAUCGGAUAGGGGUCAAAGACGCAAGUCACUUCGGGAUGGUCCCGCGUCCUAUCAGCUAGUUGGUGAGGUAACGGCUCACCAAGGCUAUGACGGGUAGCCGGCCUGAAAGGGCGAUCGGCCACACUGGAACUGAGACACGGUCCAGACUCCUACGGGAGGCAG